GAACGCACCUUGCACCCUCUGGUAUUCCGGAGGGUAUGCCCGGUUGAGUGUCAUGAAUAUCUCAACUCCAAUGUUUUGUCAAGGUCUCAUCGACCCGUCCCACCGACCUAACGAGGUUGUGGUGAUGGUCUUUGGGCCGAAGCAUUGGAGCUUGGACUUGAGCUCUGUUGGCCCUUUGGGUUGACUGGCUAGAAAUGCAUCAGCGAUGACGUCCCUUGGGUCCAUCUCGGCGUGAUAAGUUGAUCGUCGCAAAGGUCCUCGGGUUGGCUCGCUCCUAAUCGUCUUCGGACAGCCUCUGACGUUUACACCUCAACUCGGGUAGGACUACCCGCUGAACUUAAG
rnacentral:misc_RNA from 1 species